rnacentral:lncRNA from 1 species
CUUGGGAUUCGAACGGCAGGCGGGAAGUGCUCUAGCAGGGGAGUCUGACCUUGUGAGGGAAUACCUGUGUCCCCCCUUUUUUCCCCUUUUUACCCAAUAAAACCCUGCCUUACUCACCCUUUAAAUCAUCUGCGAGCCUGAAUUUUCAUGGCCGUGGGACGGACAAGAACUUUAUCUUCAGCUGAACUAAGAAAAAGUCCUGCAACAUUUUUGGCGCGCAAUGUGGGGGCACCAGAAGCGGGCACCGUUGAGCUGUUGCAACUGUUCUGCUGAUUUCUAUCAUGGAAAAUAUCCCUGCAAGCAGUAACCACUAUUUGAAUGGUGAAAUCAGCAGCACAGCAAACAUGGUUCUUAAUGAGGAGCCUUAUGUAUGUGGUUGAAACCACCUGUACUACUGGAAUGAAAGCACCUUUACAGAAGAGGCAAUGCAAGUUGUAUUCAUCACAUGUGUAGAAUGAAUUAAGAUUUAUGCCAGUUGCAAAGAAGAAUAUUGGCUCACUAUUUUUCCUCUGGGCAUGUGGAAAUGUAAAUCAGUCCAUGUUACUCACCUCGGAGAAGCAGAAGUACGAUUUACUAUUGUUGCUUGCUUACUUACUCUUAUCAAUUUCUAUGAGAGAAAGAGACCUCAAGUAAACCUCCAGCAGCCAUCUGGACUUCCAUGAAAACAGAACAAUCAGUGAGAUGCAGAGCUUGGAGGAGACAGUUUCCAUAGACUGAAGCACGUGCUGAAGCAAAGUUCACACUUGCAGGAUUAGAAGAGGUUGACCGAAAGAAGGAAGGACAUGGACAGCUAUGUUGUUGUGGAGUCCUGUUUUAUAGUCAUAACCUUGAGUCAAGUGAGUUUGUCUGGACAGACAGAGCUUGUUGCCUUUACUUAUAGGGAAGGCACCGGACACAGACAGCCUCAAGGACAUUUGUUCUAGCCUUUCAGUAUCCUUUCUCUUAAUUAUCUCACCUCAUCCAUGAAGCUGGUAUGUACGAUUUUUCCUUUCUUUCUCAAUCCUUUAAAAAAUUAAAGCUCUAAAUCUCAUUUCCACUUAGAUUUUAAUGUUGCAUUGUAACUUAAGAUAAAACCUUGCUCUGAUGUUAAAAAUACUAAAGUAAGAAGCAAUAUGGCAUAGUGCUUAUGAGCAGGACUACAUAGUUCUUUCUGAAUACAAAUCUCAGAUAAAACACUAUCUCAGUGAUCAACCAGGUUAAGCAACCUUUUUAGUGCCUCAAUUAUUCCAUUUGUAAAAUUGUAAUAAUGAUAGUACUAACCUAUAAGAUUGUGGUGAGGAUUAAGUCAGAUAAUACAAAAGAAGCAUUUAGAGUAUUUCCUGGCAUUAUCUACCAUUUAUUGAAUUUUUAUGGUUAAGAAGAAUAAGGAAAAGCAGAAGAAAAGGAAAAGAGAAAAAAUACAUAAGAAGAAGGAAGAGUGGUAAGCUCUAGUAAAUUACAACAAACGGUAACGUAGAAAACAUUUGUUAGCCCUUAAUAUAGGCCAGGCACUGUGUUCAAUGCUUAAACCUCAUUACUGUUCUUUGAAGUGGAUAACAUUAUUCCUUCCAUUUUAAAGAAAGGAAUACUAAAGACAACUUUGUCAAUAUUAUUCAUGUAAUAAAUGACAGAAUUUGACCAAGACAAUAGAGAAUGAACUCUUAAUCACUAUAUUGUUUUAUUUUUUGAAAAUAGAUUUUAAGUUCUUAUUAAAUGUUAAUGACUCACAUCAAAAUAAAGCCAAUCAAAAUUGACAGCAAU